rnacentral:rRNA from 1 species
GCAUGGCACCCCGGCUAAAGCCCCGACGGGAGGGGAUGGCUCCGCGGCCCAUCAGGUAGACGGCGGGGUGACGGCCCACCGUGCCGACAACGGGUAGCCGGGUUGAGAGACCGACCGGCCAGAUUGGGACUGAGACACGGCCCAGACUCCUACGGGAGGCAGCAGUGGGGAAUCUUGCGCAAUGGGGGGAACCCUGACGCAGCGACGCCGCGUGCGGGACGGAGGCCUUCGGGUCGUAAACCGCUUUCAGCAGGGAAGAGUCAAGACUGUACCUGCAGAAGAAGCCCCGGCUAACUACGUGCCAGCAGCCGCGGUAAUACGUAGGGGGCGAGCGUUAUCCGGAUUCAUUGGGCGUAAAGCGCGCGUAGGCGGCCCGGCAGGCCGGGGGUCGAAGCGGGGGGCUCAACCCCCCGAAGCCCCCGGAACCUCCGCGGCUUGGGUCCGGUAGGGGAGGGCGGAACACCCGGUGUAGCGGUGGAAUGCGCAGAUAUCGGGUGGAACACCGGUGGCGAAGGCGGCCCUCUGGGCCGAGACCGACGCUGAGGCGCGAAAGCUGGGGGAGCGAACAGGAUUAGAUACCCUGGUAGUCCCAGCCGUAAACGAUGGACGCUAGGUGUGGGGGGACGAUCCCCCCGUG